CUCCACUGAUUUAUGUUUUAUAGCUAUAUAAUUUGAUAAUUUUGAAAAAGAAAUCAUUUGUCAGCAGGCAAAGCCGGAUCAGUGUGAACUCGUCUCGCUAAACGGGUGCUCACAACUCAGAGACUGGAAUCCUGGAUAAGCCGCGUAAUUGGCUCCGGAGUGGAUCCGGAGACCAAGCCUUCUCGCUAAUUGUUUUGAAAAAAGAAACAACAGAUAUAUAGUUUUUGGAAUAGCGAGAAGCAACAGGGAAUCCUGAAGAUAGAUCCUGAACACUCUGAACAGUCCAUGUACGUAUAUGCUAUGUAUGCUGUGCUGGAAAGCAUAAACAUGUAAAGUUUACGCUUCAUUAAAUACAUGAUUUAAUAUCUAAAAAGAGAAGUAUUACAUUCUGUUAACUUAAAUCUUUUCCAGUAGUAAGUUGCUAUUCACGGCUGUUCACAAGAAGUGUAUUCAAUAGAAAGAGGAACAGGAAGCAGAAGCACACUUAUACUUGUUCCUGCAGAUUUCCAUUCACGUUUUAAAUGGAACUCGUGAGUAUCUGUUGUGUUGAAAGCAAUCAUCAACAAGAUUAAUAACAACUAUGGAAUAAUUACAAUUCAAUAGAAAGUUAAGAAAGUACCAUUAUUAUUUAAACAUUCUUAAAGAUUAUAAAAAUAUUUAUUUAAAAAAUUAUUAAAUAAAUUGUUAAUCAUUCCUAUUAUAUUAAUAAUAAAAAAGGGUAUAAUUAAAAACGGAAAUAUUGCAUAAGAAAUUUUUGGUAUCGUUGAACAGUAAAACAAUAAGAGAAAAAAGGAGCGAA